CUCUGCCAUCGCAACAGGGGAACAAUCAGUUGCUGCAUGACAUGGGCAUCAGCACAGUCAUCGCUCUCCUUGGCCAGCUGAGGGAGGAAAACAGGGAGCUGAAGGGGGAAGUAGGAAGGCUGGCGCAAGAGGUCAGGGCCCUAAGGAGAGAGAUGGGGAGACAAGACACACCCCAGACAUCGCCCCUAAUCAAGCUCCCACUCUCCACCAUGGAGGAGUUUUUGGCAGCAGAGGCCCUGGUGAAGGAAGAUGCCAAACAAAAGCAGCUAAUGGUGUCUACCUUAGCCCUUUGUGGAGGAACCAACGUAGGGGUCACAGUGAGGCGGAUGCUGCGUAGCCUCCUC